UACGGGGGGAGCAAGCGUUGUUCGGAUUUACUGGGCGUAAAGGGCGCGUAGGCGGCCAGUGCAAGUCAGUUGUGAAAUCUCCGAGCUUAACUCGGAAAGGUCAACUGAUACUGCUCGGCUAGAGUGCGGAAGGGGCAACUGGAAUUCUUGGUGUAGCGGUGAAAUGCGUAGAUAUCAAGAGGAACACCUGAGGCGAAGGCGGGUUGCUAGGCUGACACUGACGCUGAGUGCGCGAAAGCCAGGGGAGCAAACGGG
rnacentral:rRNA from 1 species